AAUACCGCAUACGGUUCUUGGAAGGCAUCUUCUAAGAAAGAAAGGAUUUAUUCGGUAAAAGAUGGGCCCGCAUCUGAUUAGCUAGUUGGUGAGAUAAUAGCCCACCAAGGCAACGAUCAGUAGCCGACCUGAGAGGGUGACCGGCCACAUUGGGACUGAGACACGGCCCAAACUCCUACGGGAGGCAGCAGUGGGGAAUAUUGCACAAUGGGCGAAAGCCUGAUGCAGCAACGCCGCGUGAAGGAAGACGGUUUUCGGAUUGUAAACUUCUAUCAAUAGGGAAGAAAGAAAUGACGGUACCUAAAUAAGAAGCCCCGGCUAACUACGUGCCAGCAGCCGCGGUAAUACGUAGGGGGCAAGCGUUAUCCGGAAUUACUGGGUGUAGAGGGAGAGUAGGCGGCAAGGUAAGCGAUAUGUGAAAGCCUUAAGCUUAACUAAAGGAUUGCAUAACGAACUAUCUAGCUAGAGUACAGGAGAGGAAAGCGGAAUUCCUAGUGUAGCGGUGAAAUGCGUAGAUAUUAGGAAGAACACCAGUGGCGAAGGCGGCUUUCUGGACUGAAACUGACGCUGAGGCUCGAAAGCGUGGGGAGCGAACAGGAUUAGAUACCCUGGUAGUCCACGCUGUAAACGAUGAGUGCUAGGUGUCGGGGAGGAAUUCCCGGUGCCGGAGC
rnacentral:rRNA from 1 species